rnacentral:lncRNA from 1 species
UUGGGGAGAGGUCUACCACUAGAGGUUGUCAAAAAGAUUGGCAUAAAGGAUGUGACAACUCAAGUGUGUAUAUCCAUGAUUCAGUACACAAGGGACCAUGAGCAAGAUGCAUUAAGUUCGUUCAGUUCAAAUAAGGUUGUAGUUGGCUUCAAAGACUGAGUUUCAGCAAUCAACAAGUUUCAGGAAGAGUUUUCAAGGCUCGAAGCAUACAAGUCCUUUUGAGAGGUGCAUAAGCUACUCAGGUGCAAAGUAGUGUUCUUUACAAGGCAUUUAAAAUCAUUGCUCCCAAUGCAAGUGAAUGCAACCUAUAUGCUCUAGACUCUCCUAGAAAUGCAAAUGAUGCAAACUAAAUGAUUUUUUUUUAUAUGCAAAUAGAUAUGCAAUGCAU